CUGCAGCCCGAGUGGUGAUCGAUUUUAUUGAGCCUAAAGCGUCCGUAGCCGGACUAGUAAACCCUUGGGUAAAUUGGGCAGCUUAACUGUCCGAAUUCCGAGGGGACUGCUAGUCUUGGGACCGGGAGAGGUCAGAGGUACUCCAGGGGUAGGGGCUAAAUCCUGUAAUCCUUGGGGGACCACCAGUGGCGAAGGCGUCUGACUAGAACGGAUCCGACGGUAAGGGACGAAACCCUGGGGCGCGAACCGGAUUAGAUACCCGAGUAGUCC
rnacentral:rRNA from 1 species